AUCAAGGCAGACCCCAUGUUUCUUCACUGGUUGGCUACAUUAAAGAACGGCUCCUCAGAGGUGUUCUUGAUCAGUGAGGGACCCAUCAGGGCUUCUGUAAGGCUGAGUGGGUCCCAUGCCUGAAAGGCAGAGCCAGGCUGAGCCUGGCCUGAGUCUCUCGUGUGUAACAGGUACGAGGAUGAAAUCAACAAGCGCACUGCUGCAGAGAACGAGUUUGUGGUGCUCAAGAAGGAUGUGGAUGCAGCGUACAUGGGCCGGAUGGAUCUGCAUGGCAAAGUGGGCACCUUGACCCAGGAGAUUGACUUCCUGCAGCAACUCUAUGAAAUGGAACUGAGCCAAGUGCAGACCCACGUGUCUAACACCAAUGUGGUGCUGUCCAUGGACAACAACCGCAACCUGGACCUGGACAGCAUCAUCGCCGAGGUCAAGGCCCAGUAUGAGCUGAUUGCCCAGAGGAGCCGGGCUGAGGCCGAGGCCUGGUACCAGACCAAGUAUGAGGAGCUGCAGGUGACUGCUGGGAAGCAUGGGGACAACCUGCGGGACACCAAGAACGAGAUUGCUGAGCUCACCCGCACUAUCCAGAGGCUGCAGGGGGAGGCCGAUGCAGCCAAGAAGCAGUGUCAGCAGCUGCAGACGGCCAUUGCGGAAGCGGAGCAGCGUGGGGAGCUGGCACUCAAGGACGCUCAGAAGAAGCUUGGGGAUCUGGAUGUGGCCCUGCACCAGGCCAAGGAAGACCUGACACGGCUGCUGCGUGACUACCAGGAGCUGAUGAAUGUCAAGCUGGCCCUGGACGUGGAGAUUGCCACCUACCGCAAGCUUCUGGAGAGCGAGGAGAGCAGGAUGUCUGGAGAAUGUCCCAGUGCAGUCAGCAUUUCUGUGACUGGCAACUCCACCACUGUGUGCGGAGGUGGCACAGCCAGCUUUGGAGGUGGCAUCUCCCUGGGUGGGAGUGGGGGGGCCACCAAGGGUGGAUUCAGCACAAAUGUGGGCUAUAGCACCGUCAAGGGAUGGCCAGUCUCUGGGGGCACCUCCAUCCUGCGGAAGACCACUACGGUCAAGACGUCCAGCCAGAGGUAUUAGCUGCUGAGCCCUGCAAGGGCCCCUGCAAUCCUGUCCCUGCCCUCCUCACCCCACCUCUGCUGCCCUUUCCAGCCACUUCUCAGGAGCAGGAACAGCCAGGGGACCUCAGACCCAGGGUAUUUUCAUACCAGACUAUUUGCAUCUUGGGAAGCGCUCAAAUCUACUCAGGUUUUCUCCUUGGUCCUGCAGUAGGAUGGGAGGGAAUGUUAAAGUUGCCAGCUUGAGUGAUGUGCUUGGGUGACUUGGGGGUGACCUUUUGACCACCGAGAGGAAGCUGAAUUUCUCAAGCCAUUAGGAGAGAGAGAAAUUGGGAGUGGUCCCCAAAGACCCUUCAACCUCCCCAGUCCCCCACCAGACCCACCCUCUCCCUGAAUCUACCCACAUCCCCCUUCCCUGUCUGUGUCUCAAUAAAUGGUGCAACUGCAGCUAGCUGUCUGUGGCUGCAGUCUGUCCUGCCUGGGG
rnacentral:sRNA from 1 species